UUAAGCGACUAAGCGUACACGGUGGAUGCCCUGGCAGUCAGAGGCGAUGAAGGACGUGCUAAUCUGCGAUAAGCGUCGGUAAGGUGAUAUGAACCGUUAUAACCGGCGAUUUCCGAAUGGGGAAACCCAGUGUGAUUCGUCACACUAUCAUUAACUGAAUCCAUAGGUUAAUGAGGCGAACCGGGGGAACUGAAACAUCUAAGUACCCCGAGGAAAAGAAAUCAACCGAGAUUCCCCCAGUAGCGGCGAGCGAACGGGGAGCAGCCCAGAGCCUGAAUCAGUGUGUGUGUUAGUGGAAGCGUCUGGAAAGGCGCGCGAUACAGGGUGACAGCCCCGUACACAAAAAUGCACAUGCUGUGAGCUCGAUGAGUAGGGCGGGACACGUGGUAUCCUGUCUGAAUAUGGGGGGACCAUCCUCCAAGGCUAAAUACUCCUGACUGACCGAUAGUGAACCAGUACCGUGAGGGAAAGGCGAAAAGAACCCCGGCGAGGGGAGUGAAAAAGAACCUGAAACCGUGUACGUACAAGCAGUGGGAGCACGCUUAGGCGUGUGACUGCGUACCUUUUGUAUAAUGGGUCAGCGACUUAUAUUCUGUAGCAAGGUUAACCGAAUAGGGGAGCCGAAGGGAAACCGAGUCUUAACUGGGCGUUAAGUUGCAGGGUAUAGACCCGAAACCCGGUGAUCUAGCCAUGGGCAGGUUGAAGGUUGGGUAACACUAACUGGAGGACCGAACCGACUAAUGUUGAAAAAUUAGCGGAUGACUUGUGGCUGGGGGUGAAAGGCCAAUCAAACCGGGAGAUAGCUGGUUCUCCCCGAAAGCUAUUUAGGUAGCGCCUCGUGAAUUCAUCUCCGGGGGUAGAGCACUGUUUCGGCAAGGGGGUCAUCCCGACUUACCAACCCGAUGCAAACUGCGAAUACCGGAGAAUGUUAUCACGGGAGACACACGGCGGGUGCUAACGUCCGUCGUGAAGAGGGAAACAACCCAGACCGCCAGCUAAGGUCCCAAAGUCAUGGUUAAGUGGGAAACGAUGUGGGAAGGCCCAGACAGCCAGGAUGUUGGCUUAGAAGCAGCCAUCAUUUAAAGAAAGCGUAAUAGCUCACUGGUCGAGUCGGCCUGCGCGGAAGAUGUAACGGGGCUAAACCAUGCACCGAAGCUGCGGCAGCGACGCUGAUGCGUUGUUGGGUAGGGGAGCGUUCUGUAAGCCUGCGAAGGUGUGCUGUGAGGCAUGCUGGAGGUAUCAGAAGUGCGAAUGCUGACAUAAGUAACGAUAAAGCGGGUGAAAAGCCCGCUCGCCGGAAGACCAAGGGUUCCUGUCCAACGUUAAUCGGGGCAGGGUGAGUCGACCCCUAAGGCGAGGCCGAAAGGCGUAGUCGAUGGGAAACAGGUUAAUAUUCCUGUACUUGGUGUUACUGCGAAGGGGGGACGGAGAAGGCUAUGUUGGCCGGGCGACGGUUGUCCCGGUUUAAGCGUGUAGGCUGGUUUUCCAGGCAAAUCCGGAAAAUCAAGGCUGAGGCGUGAUGACGAGGCACUACGGUGCUGAAGCAACAAAUGCCCUGCUUCCAGGAAAAGCCUCUAAGCAUCAGGUAACAUCAAAUCGUACCCCAAACCGACACAGGUGGUCAGGUAGAGAAUACCAAGGCGCUUGAGAGAACUCGGGUGAAGGAACUAGGCAAAAUGGUGCCGUAACUUCGGGAGAAGGCACGCUGAUAUGUAGGUGAAGUCCCUCGCGGAUGGAGCUGAAAUCAGUCGAAGAUACCAGCUGGCUGCAACUGUUUAUUAAAAACACAGCACUGUGCAAACACGAAAGUGGACGUAUACGGUGUGACGCCUGCCCGGUGCCGGAAGGUUAAUUGAUGGGGUCAGCGCAAGCGAAGCUCUUGAUCGAAGCCCCGGUAAACGGCGGCCGUAACUAUAACGGUCCUAAGGUAGCGAAAUUCCUUGUCGGGUAAGUUCCGACCUGCACGAAUGGCGUAAUGAUGGCCAGGCUGUCUCCACCCGAGACUCAGUGAAAUUGAACUCGCUGUGAAGAUGCAGUGUACCCGCGGCAAGACGGAAAGACCCCGUGAACCUUUACUAUAGCUUGACACUGAACAUUGAGCCUUGAUGUGUAGGAUAGGUGGGAGGCUUUGAAGUGUGGACGCCAGUCUGCAUGGAGCCGACCUUGAAAUACCACCCUUUAAUGUUUGAUGUUCUAACGUUGACCCGUGAUCCGGGUUGCGGACAGUGUCUGGUGG
rnacentral:rRNA from 1 species